UUAAUUCAGAAAAUGGAAGAGGGAAUUAUUUGUGAAAUUUUGGGAAAGUCCCAUAUUUUUUGGAUUAAAAUUGAAAUUAUAAUGAAUUAAAUGAGAAAAUGGUAUUUAAAAUAUUAAAUGGAAAAUUAAUUAAAUCAGAAAAAAAAGAGGGUCAUCAGAUCUGAUGGCUCAAAUUGAGGUGGCAGAUCUGAUGACCAAGCG
rnacentral:lncRNA from 1 species